rnacentral:lncRNA from 1 species
CCCCCAGCAUCAACACCCCACCCCCUGUGCGUGCCUGGCUGGCUGCUUCCGGAAACCAAAGUGUUGGCCGCUUAUGUUGGGGAUUGUCCAGGGUUAGAGGUCACCCCGAACCAAGCUCACCCACAUCCCCAGUCAACUGGUAAGGUGGCAGGAAGAGAAAGGUCACGUGGCAGGACGGAAGCUGACCUGCGUGACUCAUCCUCCCGGAACACAGGGUGCUGGGAUGUAACCAAGUUCAGGGAUCACAGGCAUCCUCAGAAGAGACAGAAGAGGGGAGAAUGCAGAGAGGGAGGAGCCCUGUGGAGAAGAAGCAGAGGCUGGAGGGACGCGGCCACAGCCCAGGGAUGCCCGGAGCCUCCAGAAGCCCCCAGAAGCCGGAAGAGGCAGGAAGGAUCCUCCCCUAGGGGGCGGAGCAUGGACCUUGAUCUCAGACUCUGGCCUCCAGACUGGGAGGGAAUUGGUUUCUGCUGUUCUGAGCCCCCGCUUUGUGGUCCCUUGUGACUGCC